CGCAGCCUGUCCACAGAGAUAUCACACCAUUUGGGGACAGCCCAGUGGCCUCCAUUUGAGCAAAGUGCCUGGAACUUGCAGAAAAGCGAGAGGGGCACACCUCCAGCAAGCCGCGGGGCAACCGCCUUACGGCUUACAAAAUUAAAUCAAUCAAUCCAAAAGAAUAAGUUACAGCUCGUGUCUCAAACUCUGCAGCCUGCGCGUCUUCAGGGCUGCUCCCAGCUACUUUCUGAGGGACCCUUUGCAACCUCAGUUCCUAAAGCCCUGUCAGGGAGCCCCAGCGGCCGCCCCGCGCAUGCGUCACAGCCUCGCCCCUCCCCUCCCCGCACUGUGGCAACGGCUCCUGCGCAUUCAGCGGGGGCGUGCGCAGUGUGCGCAGUGUGCGCAGUGUGCGUAGCGCGCUGCGUGCGCGGCGUUCCUAGGGCGCGGCCGGUGCCCCGCCUGGAGCUGUUUGUUUGUGCCGCUGCGGCGGCGCGGCGCGGCACGGGAGCGGAGCGGAGCGGAGCGGAGCCCGGCCGGGCUCGGCGCUGCUGCGGUCGCCAUGUUGAGGCGCAGCAAGGCCGAGGUGGAGCGCUGUGUCGCCUCCGUGCAGGCCUCUGCGGCUUCUCGGAGAGAGCAGGGCUUUCCUCGGGGCCGGAGCGAGGGAGAGGUACUUUCCUUCACAAACGAAGCACCGCGCCGCCUUCAAGUUUCAGUGUCCUUUCCGUGCGGCGCCGUGGAGGUUUCUGGCCGGCCGCUCGCUGAAGCGACAGCGCCGAGCGAGGGGGGCUGGGGGCGCACAGCUCCGCUCCCUGUCAGCCAGCGGGCCCGGGGGUGACAAACGCCACCCGUGCCCAUUUUAGCUGGGAAACGCUCAGCCGCCUGAUGCGAUUCAGCGGGCCCUAAUCCUGAAAGAUCCCGGCCUGCCGCUCGGAGUUGCUUUGAAGCGGCGUGAAUGUGCCCGAGCUAAGCGUGAUCCGGUAGGGACUGCGUGCAGGGGCUGUGCCUUUGGUUGGUGCCUUUCCCAGCAGCAGCAGCAGCAGCAAAGCUGUCCUGUGACUUUGUGGGUUCGACUUGGGCACUGUUUGGGCUAGACAGCGUCAAGUGCAUCGCCGCCAGGUGCACAGAUACGUUCCCACAGUGUUGAUACUCCCCGGUGGCCUCGACACAAAAUAUUUCCUCUCCUCUUCUUGUGCUCAAGGCCACCGGACGCGUUUAGUUUUGACUUUCGAGCGAUGCUUACAGCUGACUGUGUAGCACAGUCCACCGAGGGAAUAGUUACUGGUUUCCUUGUUGUGUUGAUUUCGGAGGGAAGGGUCUGCCAAGGCUGCAAGCGUUUCUUUUGAGGUUGCUUUUCAUCCCUGUCCGCAAGGUGUCAAGCGUGAGUCCGCUCUGGCGUGUCAGUGAUACCUGAAAAGAUGGACCGAAAACGCGGAGGCCUGUUUUCAUUGAAAUUCACUUAAAGUUUUACAUAGAUCACUUGGGGGUGGGGGAGGGGUGGGGAGUAGCAAUUUGAGUGUAUUUCGAAUGCAGACCGUUGAUUCAUGUUUUGCGUCGUUGGGCCUAACUACCUCCAGUAGUUUGGAGUUCACAGACAAAACCUGCUUUUUGAUCCGAUGUUGGGAGCUCGGAUUUUAAAUACAUAUUUAAAAAUAGCUUCUACCUUGAAGUUUUUGCUUGUGACUUUGUAGUUCUCUAGCUCUUUCCUUUGACUCAUUUCCUCCUGCCCGUGCUUCUCCCAUCUUGCCCUCUUGCUUGCUCAGUUUUCUGUUUUGCUUUUUCUCGCUUUCGUUUCCUUGUUUUAUUCCUCCUUAAAUACCUUUCGUCUUUCAUCCCCAGAACAAGUGUGUUCAAGCUAUCUCAGACUGAUGACAUCAGAAAUAAAUUACUGUAUUGAUGCAUUUUGUAUAUAAACUGAGAGUAGGUGGGAUUUCUUAGGUGGGAAGAAAACAUUUUACCUAUAUUGAAACAGUUGUGAGUGAUAUGUACUAGACCAGGACUAAGUACCAUCUUUUUUGUUUACUCUGUCAGAUUUUAGGGGUUCUUUUUGCAACAUUGUUACAUUGGGGGAAAAAAACAGGCUGUACUUUAAAUGUAGCAGACUCUCUUCUUCUACUUCUUCUACACUCUUCAGUAAGAAGUGGUUGUGAAAUGUCACAAGUAUUAAGGCUUGUUGCUUGCUUCACCAGUAACCUCAAUUUCACGUUUGUAGCCUUGGCCAGUUACAGGAAAAGCAUUGUUUUCCAAAUCCCACAUCUUUCAAAAACAAAACUUUGGUUAUGAGGAGCGGACUGGAGCUGAUAACUAGUUAUCAAAUUCAGUCUCUCAAAAAGUAUCAGAAGGGUCUUCCUAUGCAAUUACUUUGAAAGUGUUGUACAUCUAAAAUGUGCUU
rnacentral:lncRNA from 1 species